GAGGGUAUAGCUCAGUGGUACAGUGUGUGCUUAGCAUGCAUGAGGUCCUGGGUUCAAUUCCCAGUACUGUCA
rnacentral:tRNA from 1 species